rnacentral:misc_RNA from 1 species
GAAAUGCGAUAAGUAAUGUGAAUUACAGAAUUCAGUGAAUCAUCGAAUCUUUGAACGCACCUUGCGCUCCUUGGUAUUCCUUGGAGCAUGCCUGUUUGAGUAUCAUGAAAUCUUCAAAGUAAAUCUUUUGUUAACUCAAUUGGUUUCUACUUUGGUAUUGGAGGUCUUUGCAGCUUCACACCUGCUCCUCUUUGUUCAUUAGCUGGAUCUCAGUGUUAUGCUUGGUUCCACUCGGCGUGAUAAGUUAUCUAUCGCUGAGGACACUGUAAAAGGUGGCCAAGGUAAAUGCAGAUGAACCGCUUCUAAUAGUCCAUUGACUUGGACAAUACUUUUAUGAUCUCAUCUCAAAUCAGGUAGGACUACCCGCUGAACUUAAGC